rnacentral:lncRNA from 1 species
UUUUUUUAUUUUUUUAUUUUUUUUUAGAUUUAUUUAUUUAUUAUAUGUAAGUACACUGUAGCUGUCUUCAGACACUCCAGAAGAGGGAGUCAGAUCUCGUUAGGGAUGGUUGUGAGCCACCAUGUGGUUGCUGGGAUUUCUUCGGAAGAGCAGUCGGGUGCUCUUACCCACUGAGCCACUGUGAUACAUUUUAAAUCAAACUUGCAAACAUUUUAUUAAACAUCCCUGGAAUGACUUUUAUAGAAUACUUGUUAAUACUAUAUUGAAAACAUAGGAAAAAGCUUAAAUAGACAAGUUUUUGAAAUAAAUUAUGGGUAGCCUGUAGAAACCCUAUAAAAAGGCUAACCAGAAAUUAUAACUAAUGGCAGAGCACACACCAUGUGCCGGGUUAGCCUUUUCUAUUUAUUAUUUAACCAUAAACUUGCAAAUACCUUAUUUUAUACAAAGAUUGAAAGAGAUCAAGAUACCAAAUGUUGAGCUGUCAUUUAAUGAGUGAGUAUUAGCUACGGUGUAUUUUUCUAUUUUAAAAGAUGUGAUGGCAGUAAUUUGCUUUAAGUUUGGGUGCUAAUAUUGCUAAAUGAAGACUUAUGUUUGAAAUUGUAAGCAGCUUUGUGUUAGUUUUUUGUUUUUGUUUGUUGUUUUGUUUUUGUUUUUAAAAUUUUGUUUUUGAGGAAGCUCUAACUUGAUUAGCCUUAACUGAGAGCCUUCUCUAUAGACUGAACUUAACUGAGAGCCUUCGCUAUGGACUGAACUGUUCUUGAACUUGUUGGGAUACUCUUGUCUCUGCCUUUUGAGUCCUAGGACAAGAGACUGGAUUUAUAGAUGGGAUACAUACAAUGCCUUUACAACAAUUUUUUUUUCUUUUUAACUUUUUGAGGUAGCCCAGGCUUUGGAAGUAUUUGUCACCACGCUUGAAGUCACUUGUUUUCUGGCCACUUUUACACAUUAUUCCAAAAAAGGUUCUAAGAUAUUUAUGGAUUCAUUCAUUCAUUCAUUUGGCUUUUUGAGGCAGGGUUUCUCUGUGUAGCCGUGGUUGUCCUGGAACUCACUCUGUAGAUCAGGCUGGCCUCGAAUUCAGAAAUCCACCUGCCUCUGCCUCCCAAGUGCUGGGAUUGAAGGCGUGCGCCACCACCUCCUGGCCUUGGCCUGUUUCUUAGAUGGUUAAUCAGAUUCUUGUGUAAGACUUUGUUACUGUGCUUGCAGUUGAAGGAAUUCUUAAAAGUUGGUUUUAGAUAAAAGGAAGUUUUAAGGAAAUGAACAGAGUAUUAAGCUGUUGUAGGUGUUAGAAAAUACAGCAUUAUUACAUACAUUAUUAUUUACAGCAUUAUUACAUAUAGCUGCAGGCUGUAAUGACAUUUGUUCUGUAAAGGUCAGGUGACUGUAGUUAAAAUUCAGGUAUCAGUUACAUGAUACUCUGCUGUGUUGUAAGUAGACAGUUUUUUUUUCCUUUUUUUGACAGUUGUGUUUGUGGGAUCUCUUGUAGCCUAGGAGCUCCAAACUCACUGUAUAACUGAGGAUGAACUUAGACUGAAUCUCUGCCUUUUUGCCCUAAUUUGUGGAUUAUAGGUAUUAUUGUUGGUUUAAUUAUUUUAUUUUAUGUUUGUCUGCAUGUAGGUCUGUACCAGGUUCCUGCUUGUUGCUUUUGGAGGUCUGAAGAGGGUGUCAGAUCCCUUGGAACUGGAGAUAGCGGCGGGUGGGGGAGGGGCGUGAAUGACCAUUUGGGUUCUGAGAAUUGAACGGUCAUAGCAGAGAAUAGCAGCUAGUGCACGAUGAGCCAUAUCUCUGUCCUCUUUUGUCACAUAGGCUGUUGCUAUAUCAUAGCUCAGGCUAAACUCAAUCACCAUUCUCCUGUUCAGCUUGGCAAGUGCUAGGAUUGUUUGCCACCAUGGUCUCCUUAGUUAAAUUAUGAUCAAACGCUUAUUGCUACCCAAGUCAGGCAAGGUACAUGCCGAUAAUUUCAGUACUGGAGUAUGCCUAAUAUGUGUAUUAUAACCAAUGCAUAUCUGGUUUACCAUAAACUCAAACUUCUCUUUUUUUUAUUUAAUUUUUGCUUAGGUAUUUGAAUUUAGAGUUUAGUUUCCCAUAACAUUUUCUACAAGAAGAAUCUUGGUAGUGUCUCAAAGACAUCACUGACUUCUGGAUCCUGCAGAAAGCCCAAGGUAAAAGACAUUUAUGUUCUCUAGGUUUUACUUGUGACUAAGUUGAGAAACUUGACGGUCAACCUGAAUCAGAUGAAGUGAUUAAGAGGGUUAGAAACUGGCCAUGGAGGUGGCUCAAGAAGUAGGGUUCUUGCCUAAUGAGCACAAGGCCCUGGGUUCAACCCCAGGUACCCUGGGGGCAUUUCUCUCUCUUCUUCUUCUUUUUUUUUUGGUGGGGAGUGUGUUACCUUCUGUAAACUCAGAUUUUGAGUUAGUUUUAAGAAAAAAUAUUUUUUUUCCCUUUCAUUGUAUAUUACCUUUUCCCCACUUCUAGAAAUACUUUGUAAGAAGGCUUAGGACACAAAAUGCCAUUUAGAACCAAAACAACUACCACUGCCAUCCUUUGAGACAAGGUUUUGCUGUGGAGCCCUACUGAGUACCUGGUACUGGGAUGACACACCUUUCUCAUUGUGCCCAAGUCAUUUAAUUGCUUAGCUUAUUUUGGUUUUGUUGGGACUAUAACCCUGGCUGUCCUAGAACUCACUGUGUAGACCAGGGUAGCCUUGAACUCUGGGAUCCAGCUGCUUCUGUGUUCCCAGUAUGGGGUAAAGGCCUGUGCCAUCACUCUUGGCUUACCUUUUUAUCUUGUAACCUCAAACUCUAAACAAAUAAGUACCUUCAGAAUUAUUUAAUGAUAUUAAAAUUUAAAUAUGUGAGAAACACAGGCCUUUACAAAGUUAAUAAAUUGAGUCUUAUGGAUAUGAUUACUUAUUUUGACUAGUAAGUUAGAAAUUUGAAAAGUUUCACAAUUGGAUCCUGACUUAACAUGGAACAUGAGGUGGUAAAUGGCUUAGCAUUAGGAACACCUGCUGUGCAAGCUUUACCACCUCAAUUCAGUCUCCUGUGCAAGGAGGAGGGACCCACCUCCUUAGAAACUUUAUAAAGUCUGAUUUCUCAUAUCUAGACUGUAGCAUUUUUGUAGCUAAACACACAUAUAUAACCACACUAAAAAAUAACUUGGGUCUGGAGAGAGAUAGCUCUUACUGCUUUUCCAGAGAACAUGGGGUUCGAUUCCCAGCAUCCACACGGAAGCUCACAACUAUCUGUAAUUCUAGUCCUAGGAGACAUCACAUAUUUCUGGCUUCAGCAGGUAACAGGCAUGCAUGGAGGCAAAUCACCCAUUACAUAAAAUAUACAUUUAAAUAAAUGAACUUAGUUUCCAGUUUCUCCUACCCUCUUUAAGGGCUGGGAAACAAACUCCUUACCUUAUACGUGCUAAGCAAUCCCAUACUUGGUUCUUAUUUUUUAAUUUUACUGUAAGAAAUGAACCUACGCCCCAAUGCUUGCUAAACAAGUACUCUAUUGCAGAGCUGCUAUAUCACUAAUUCUUUCUUUCCUUUUGCAUACUAGGUCUUUAAGCCCAGGCUGCUCUUGAACUCAUGUUAGCCUAUGUAGGUUUGAACUUGAGCUAGUUUCAUUUCAGUUUUCUGAAUAAGAGUGCUGGUCUAUGUGGAUGACUAAAUUUUUUUUUAGCAGUUUGAAAUAAUUUAUAGACCAUAAGAAAUAAUUGAAAAAGCCAGGCAGUGGUGGUGCACGCCUUUAAUCCCAGCACUUGGGAGGCAGAGGCAGGCAGAUUUCUGAGUUCAAGACCAGCCUGGUCUACAGAGUGAGUAAGUUCCCAGGACAGCCAGGGCUACACAGAAAAACCCUGUUUCAAAAAAAAAAAGAAAAAGAAAAAGAAAUAAUUGAAAAAAAUUAAAAAGUCACUUGUAUGAAAAUACAUAAAUACUUUAUCACCAUAAAAUAUAUACUAGUUAAAUUAUAUACGUUACUGGUUUAUUUGCUAUAUAU